rnacentral:rRNA from 1 species
CCUACGGGCGGCAGCAGUAGGGAAUAUUGCACAAUGGGGGAAACCCUGAUGCAGCGACGCCGCGUGGGUGAUGAAGUAUUUAGGUUUGUAAAGUUCUAUCAGCAGAGAAGAAAAUGACGGUAUCUGACUAAUAAGCACCGGCUAACUACGUGCCAGCAGCCGCGGUAAUACGUAGGGUGCAAGCGUUACCCGGAAUCACUGGGCGUAAAGAGUGCGUAGGCGGGGUAAUAAGUCAGAUGUGAAAUGCUGGGGCUUAACUACGGAACUGCAUUUGAAACUGUGACUCUGGAGUGUGGGAGAGGUAGGUGGAAUUCUUGGUGUAGGGGUAAAAACCGUAGAGAUCAAGAGGAAUACUCAUUGCGAAGGCGACCUGCUGGAACAUUACUGACGCUGAUGCACGAAAGCGUGGGGAGCAAACAGGAUUAGAUACCCCAGUAGUC